UCCCCAAUUUCCAGUCAUUGCAAUUCAACUAACUUGAAGAAAGUAAAAUUGAAUUGAGGUUUAGAUAAACAUGCAUCAUAGAUCUUCCACAAUUUCCCCAAUUUCCAACGCUUUUCCCCAAUUUCCAGUCAUUGCAAUUCAAGUAACUUGAAGAAAGUAAAAUUGAAUUGAGGUUUAGUGAAUGUUGAUAAGUCUCUAUCCCCACCCCCAUUUACAAGAUGCAGACACCAAAUUUACAUCAAUUCUCAGCCUCAUUAUCUCUCAAUCCAUAAACAAAGAAUCUUAAUCCACCCAGAUCAGUAACACUCCACGAAGAAAAAAUCACUCGUGUUGUCGCCUUCACCACUCGCGCCGCCGCCUCACGCCGCCCUCGUCGCCAUCGCUUCUUCCUCUAAUUCGCCAGUCAACUGCAGUAUUAACUCGUCGCCGCUGCCUCUGGUGAGGUGAGGUCGGCCAUGGAAGUGCAGAUAAAUUCGUAGAACUUACCAUUCGCCGACUUCCACCUAUCGCCUCCGCCUUCCCCUUUCCUCCUCCACUUUGCUCGCCUCCACCCUCUCUUUUCCUUCUCAUAAAUUAGGGCUCGUUGCUUAACAGAGCAGGGGGAGGGAGAGAGAGAGAGCCGGACUGCGGCUAUCAAUCCAUAAACAAAGAAUCUUAGGGUUUCAGGCGGCGGCGAUAGGGUUUCAGGGGGAGGGAGAGAGAGUCGAACGGAAAUUAGGGCCACUCCAGUUCGCUCGCCUCCGGAUCUGCAGCGUCUCCUCCACUUCCAUCGGAUCUGCGGCGCGGAGGUCGGCAUUUAUCCAUAUCUGUGCCUCAUAACACAUUUAAUCUAGAUCUCUUAGGUGGUGGCGCGGAGGUCGGCAUCGGAGAGUGUGGCGGAUUUCCGGUGCCGAGAGAGAGAUGGUGUCGGAGGAAGGGAGAGGUGGCAACGGCGCCGGUAAUGAGAGAGAGAGAGUGACGUGAAUUGGCUGGAGAAUUGAAUUGAGAGAGAGUGAGAGUGUGAGGAGAGAGGGAUAAAAGUGAGUGGCCAUUUUUUAAUAUUUUAAAGUGAAGGGUAUUUUUGACUUUUUGUUUAAAAACUGGUCAUUUUUUAUUAUUUUUAUUUGAUAGGCUAGAUUUUAAUUUUACAAUAUGAAAGUGGAUAGUUUUAUAUAUUAGCUCUUUUUUCUUUAUCUUCUUUACAAUUUUCUUCAUACUUAUAUAGCCUUGCUUUUUGUUUUGGCACUAUUCUAAGUUAUUAAAAUUGUAAAUUGAAUACAUGCAUGGUCAAAUUUUCCAACGGCCAUCAUU
rnacentral:lncRNA from 1 species